CACUUGGAUUCCAUGGUCUUCCAAGACAUCUGGAACCUAUGGGGUCUAUUGGAAAUAGAUCUUUUCACUUCUCGUUUGAAUGCUCAACUUUUAUGUCUGUCCUCCAUUUUUCUGACUUCUAUGAUGAAGGUAAAGACUAUCGCACUGUGGACCUUACCGAUAGUCCAUUUCUGCUGGCCAUCAAAUUUUCGAUUGGACGCCUGUCGGUUGACAUCCUGUCAUAUAUUGACU